rnacentral:rRNA from 1 species
UUAAGCGACUAAGCGUACACGGUGGAUGCCCUGGCAGUCAGAGGCGAUGAAGGACGUGCUAAUCUGCGAUAAGCGUCGGUAAGGUGAUAUGAACCGUUAUAACCGGCGAUUUCCGAAUGGGGAAACCCAGUGUGUUUCGACACACUAUCAUUAACUGAAUCCAUAGGUUAAUGAGGCGAACCGGGGGAACUGAAACAUCUAAGUACCCCGAGGAAAAGAAAUCAACCGAGAUUCCCCCAGUAGCGGCGAGCGAACGGGGAGCAGCCCAGAGUCUGAAUCAGCUUGUGUGUUAGUGGAACGGUCUGGAAAGUCCGACGGUACAGGGUGAUAGUCCCGUACACCAAAAUGCACAGGCUGUGAACUCGAAGAGUAGGGCGGGACACGUGGUAUCCUGUCUGAAUAUGGGGGGACCAUCCUCCAAGGCUAAAUACUCCUGACUGACCGAUAGUGAACCAGUACCGUGAGGGAAAGGCGAAAAGAACCCCGGCGAGGGGAGUGAAAAAGAACCUGAAACCGUGUACGUACAAGCAGUGGGAGCACCUUCGGGUGUGACUGCGUACCUUUUGUAUAAUGGGUCAGCGACUUAUAUUCUGUAGCAAGGUUAACCGUAUAGGGGAGCCGAAGGGAAACCGAGUCUUAACUGGGCGUUAAGUUGCAGGGUAUAGACCCGAAACCCGGUGAUCUAGCCAUGGGCAGGUUGAAGGUUGGGUAACACUAACUGGAGGACCGAACCGACUAAUGUUGAAAAAUUAGCGGAUGACUUGUGGCUGGGGGUGAAAGGCCAAUCAAACCGGGAGAUAGCUGGUUCUCCCCGAAAGCUAUUUAGGUAGCGCCUCGUGAAUUCAUCUUCGGGGGUAGAGCACUGUUUCGGCUAGGGGGUCAUCCCGACUUACCAACCCGAUGCAAACUACGAAUACCGAAGAAUGUUAUCACGGGAGACACACGGCGGGUGCUAACGUCCGUCGUGAAGAGGGAAACAACCCAGACCGCCAGCUAAGGUCCCAAAGUCAUGGUUAAGUGGGAAACGAUGUGGGAAGGCACAGACAGCCAGGAUGUUGGCUUAGAAGCAGCCAUCAUUUAAAGAAAGCGUAAUAGCUCACUGGUCGAGUCGGCCUGCGCGGAAGAUGUAACGGGGCUAAACCAUGCACCGAAGCUGCGGCAGCGACACUAUGUGUUGUUGGGUAGGGGAGCGUUCUGUAAGCCUGCGAAGGUGUGCUGUGAGGCAUGCUGGAGGUAUCAGAAGUGCGAAUGCUGACAUAAGUAACGAUAAAGCGGGUGAAAAGCCCGCUCGCCGGAAGACCAAGGGUUCCUGUCCAACGUUAAUCGGGGCAGGGUGAGUCGACCCCUAAGGCGAGGCCGAAAGGCGUAGUCGAUGGGAAACAGGUUAAUAUUCCUGUACUUGGUGUUACUGCGAAGGGGGGACGGAGAAGGCUAUGUUAGCCGGGCGACGGUUGUCCCGGUUUAAGCAUGUAGGCUGGUUGUCCAGGCAAAUCCGGAUAAUCAAGGCUGAGGUGUGAUGACGAGGCACUACGGUGCUGAAGUAACAAAUGCCCUGCUUCCAGGAAAAGCCUCUAAGCAUCAGGUAACAUCAAAUCGUACCCCAAACCGACACAGGUGGUCAGGUAGAGAAUACCAAGGCGCUUGAGAGAACUCGGGUGAAGGAACUAGGCAAAAUGGUGCCGUAACUUCGGGAGAAGGCACGCUGGUGUGUAGGUGAAGUCCCUGCGGAUGGAGCUGAGACCAGUCGAAGAUACCAGCUGGCUGCAACUGUUUAUUAAAAACACAGCACUGUGCAAACACGAAAGUGGACGUAUACGGUGUGACGCCUGCCCGGUGCCGGAAGGUUAAUUGAUGGGGUUAUCCGUAAGGAGAAGCUCUUGAUCGAAGCCCCGGUAAACGGCGGCCGUAACUAUAACGGUCCUAAGGUAGCGAAAUUCCUUGUCGGGUAAGUUCCGACCUG